UACGUAGGGGGCAAGCGUUGUCCGGAAUCAUUGGGCGUAAAGCGCGCGUAGGCGGCCCGGUAAGUCCGCUCUGAAAGUCCAGGGCUUAACCCUGGAAAGCGGGUGGAUACUGCCGGGCUUGAAUCCGGAAGAGGCGAGUGGAAUUCCUGGUGUAGCGGUGGAAUGCGCAGAUAUCAGGAGGAACACCAACGGCGAAGGCAGCUUGCUGGGACGGUACUGACACUGAGACGCGAAAGCGUGGGGAGCAAACAGG
rnacentral:rRNA from 1 species